UACAGAGGUCUCAACCGUUGUUCGGAUUCAUUGGGCGUAAAGGGUGCGUAGGCGGUCGCGCAAGUCGGAUGUGAAAUCUCAGGGCUCAACCCUGAAACUGCAUUCGAUACUGCGUGGCUAGAGUGCUGGAGAGGAGACUGGAAUUUACGGUGUAGCAGUGAAAUGCGUAGAGAUCGGGAAGAACAUCGGUGGCGAAGGCGCUCUACUGGACCACAACUGACACUCAGGGACGAAAGCUAGGGGAGCGAAUGGG
rnacentral:rRNA from 1 species